CCCCCGCCGCCGCCGCUCGCACUUCCUCUUCCUUCCUCCUGCUGGCCGGGCCGCGACGUGCAGCCCGCGGGGCUCCGGCACCUGCGGGGACCGGACGGGCCCAGCCGCCUUUCUUCGGUCACGGCUGUGCCUCCUCCCGCACGGCUCCGGAGGAGAGUUCCCACCGUCCUCGCUGCCUUUACAAUACGAAGAGCCAACCGUAUCCUGGGCUGCAUCAAAGGAAGAGUGGCCAGCAGGGAGAGGGAGGUGAUCCUGCCCCUCUGCUCUGCCUGCCCUGAGGUGAGACUUCACCUGGAGUACCGCGUCCAGAUGUGGAGUCCUCAGUACAGGAGAGACAUGGAGCUGUUGGAGUGCAUCCGGAGGAGGGCCACAGAAAUGACCCAAGGGAUGGAACACCUCUCCUAUGAGGACAGGCUGAGGGAGUUGGGCCUGGAGAAGAGAAGGUUCCGAGAUGACCUAAUAGCAGCUCCGGUGCUUUGUUUGAAAUCAUCCCUGCAGGGCCCAGUGCUUCAGAUUACAGCUGGCAGUGAGAUACAGCAGUGUUCAGGGGCUCCUGGCUCUGCAGCACCACAGGCACCCCACAGGGUUGCACCUCUGUCACAAGAAGGACAAGUGGCACGAGGACUAGCAAAAGUGAGUCCUGCAGGCUGCAACACGUCACAUAACGGUACACGAGCUCUGAGCAAUUAAUUGGGCAUGAGGCAGAAAGAGGCAUGACUCACCUGAGCCACGCGCUGCUGUAUUUGUAGGAGUGGAGCACGGGCACUGCGUGGCUCUGCAUAGCAUGUGAGAUGUCUCCGUGGCAGGAAUUCCCCACAGUUAUGAGGCACUUCCUCAGAGCCACUGGGCUUUGGGACCUCCUCCAAUGGUAAAAUCCACAGAGAAGCCAGACUGGGAUGUGUUGGUUCCUACGGUCAAUAUACAUUUCAAAGCACCUUCUUACACUGCUUUGUUAAGGUAGAACUCUGAAACUGAAAAUACAAGGUCCACAUAGAUAUUAUUUUAGGGAAAAAAAAGUUCUUCUCUGAAACAGUAGUCAGGCACAGGCACAGGCUGCCCAGGGGAGUGGUGGAGUCACCAUCCCUGGAGGUGUUCAAGAAACACGUAGAUGUGGCACUGAGGGUCAUGGUUAGUGGGCAAUAUUGAUGAUGGGUUGACAGUUGGACUAGAUUAUCUUGGAGGUCUUUUCCAACCUUAAUGAUUCUAUGAUUUUGUGUUAUGAAGCCACUUAUCAAAUCGUCUCGAGAGUUCCUGAUGGCCAAAUAUAGUGUUCUCAAUGAAGGAUGGGAGUAGUCCCAAGCAGAUGGCUGUUCAGUGUGCAGCUGGACUACGUAAUAUUGAGAUUUUUUUCUAUGUCUGUGUACCCGUAUUAUGGUCCUGAAAUAAAAGCAGGAUGUGUUUACAGCUUAGAAAAGGACAUUGUGAACACACAGUGAGAUGUACGAAAGUUUUGUUUACCCCACCUUCCACUGUUGGUGCAGGAGCUGUUUCUGUGUGUCCUCUCUUAGGGGCUGGCAUCAGCAGUGAAAAUGAGCACAUAUACCAGGCGGUAGGAGGGAUGCUUGGAAGAAUAUUAAGAAUGAACAGUACUUUAAAUGUUUUCUAUUUUAAACCUUUAGCACCACAUUUUUGAUCUUCCUCCUUUGUCUCUCAAGUUCAUCAAUGGAAAUCAUAAAAGAUCAAUUUCAGCCGCACACGACUAUAAUAUUUCGAUUUCAAACGGUGUGGGAGAAUGUGUAUUUAACAAUGCUAUUGUGGUUCAGUUUAGAAGAGAAUACGUGAAGUACUUUCCAGAUUGUGGGGACAAAGGUAAGCGCACUGUUAUACUGAAUGUUCCUGAGAGACAGCAAGCAAGAGAGCCACUGCGCACAGCCCAUUGAAGCCCCCUGCUCACCCACAGACAGCAUUGCAACUAUUGCUCCAAUAGCACUAGUAUUUUUUUCUCCAAAACUUGCUUGGAAUGUAUAUUUACAGAAGUGUGUGGAUGCUGGGGGCAUGUUCUAAUUUAUUUAAUAGCAGUCUUUCCCAUGGUGUCUGCUGCCAAACACGUGCUGUCGUUAUAACUGUGCUGUGUCAUAACACAGUGGAGUUGUUCUGAUGUUGUGAGCAUAAGAAGUUUGCUAAAUAAUUCUAGAAAGCCAGAAGAGGGAGUGCAGGAACAGAAAACACCCAGAAAUAAGCAUCUUAAUUGAUGUGGCUAUUUCAGCUGCAACCUUAAAAAAAGUAAAUCCAGGAAGGACUGGUGUCCUGCUUGGCUCUCUGACAACAGGAAUGUGUCACGGGGGGUGCCAAUCACCUGCUGAAACACAGCCUGGAGGAACAUCAGUGUGGCUGCCCCAAAAUGUAGAGAGCACCACAGUCGUUAGUCAUUUUUGCCAGUGAAAACCUUAGAUCCUGAGAUGAAAGAGCUUCUGACAAUUUUGGAAGAUGCAGAGUUUUGUCACAGUAUUUCUGGCCAAGCUUUCCUGAGGCACUGAUUAUCCAAGAUGGCUUCUGUUAAUCUCAUUGGCAAGGAUGGAUGGAUUAUAUUGUGCUUAUGGGCUCUAUGCAUCAUCCUUAAUAAUAUCGGUAUUUUAAUUGUAUGCAAUACAAUUACUAAAGAACCUCAUUUAUAACCACUAAAGCGUACCAAAGUGCCAGCUGUGAUACAGAGUACUGCUGCAUUUGUUCUUUUUAGAAGCCACAGAUAAAUUUCCCUUUAUUAUGACAAUGCUAGCUAUCUCUUGUGUCCAAGUGAGGGCAUUUAUGUUUGCAUGCAUACAUGCAAUUGUGACCUGUCAGAUAUUUCUAUAUAGGUCUUGAAGAUCUGACCUAAAUUCACAGUGACGUCAAUAAAAAUGGACUGUAUCAGAAAAUUCAAGUUUAUUUUUCUAAGCUGCAGCAUGCCCACAGAUCUCCAUACUCCAGUCCUAAAUUGUAGUCAUCAGUUUGCUCUCGCAGAGUCAGCAGUUUGCUCUUGCAGGCCUAUAUGUGUAGGAAUUUUAUGUUCAUGUAUACAUCUAGUGACCAUCUAGCAAAGAGUACUCAAGGCCCCUAAUGAUGGGAGCGUUAUUAUGACUGAGUUUAGUGUAUCUAUUCAACCUGUAAAUCUGCCACUGGAUAUACAUUUGCAUAAAACAUACAUGGAAAAGAAGACAGCCUUUGCAGGAUGGCCACCUUAAUGAAGAAAUAAAUACUUUGCAUAGAAGACAUGUUGUAGUUAACCUGUGAACAAUGCUAUUCUAACGAGCAGUUUAGAUCUUUUUAUGGACUCAUUACCAUCUCA
ensembl:lncRNA